rnacentral:lncRNA from 1 species
GUUCCAUGCUAUGAACCCAGGCAGGUCUAUCACAAGAUCCUACACUAUAAAAUACUGCUUGCACAUAAAAGCUCACUGUUACAUGGAUGAAAUUUUUAAAAAGAGAGAUUAUUCACUCUUUGAUCAGCAAGACUAGGAAGCUGGGUGAUGUCCAGGGGGCGGAGCAUCUGGGGGAAGCUGUGUUUUGGUACCUCAUGUAGAUAAGAUGAUUGACUCCUCUUUUCCUAACAGAAUUCAGAAUUUGUUCAAGUGGCCACCUGCCUCCAGCUGCAGAAUGGAAUCCAAGUCUUUAAGUCUCCUAUUCCAGGGCUCUAUGUUCAAAGUCCCCAAGCCACCUGAGGAGCAGCCCUAUCUCCGAGGAAUGAAGUCGGUUCUGGCUCUAAUGUGGGGGCUCAUGUGAGAAGAAGUCUUGGUGGAAGGGCCCUUGGCACAGGAAACCCGUUGAGUCGUCAAAGUGGAGCCAAGGAAAGGCCCUCGAGCUCUGAACAGGCCUCGCUGGGAAGAAGCUUUGUGCAAAGAAAAGCACAACUGCACAGACAAAAUCAUAUGAUGCUCUGAUUAAGAAGCACGAGUCGCCCCAUCAUGUGAUGGCGCGGCUGUAAACUCCAGCCCUGGAGACAUGAACUGGCACAGAUUCCGUCGUUGGAGCAGGAGGGGGGCAUUCAGGCAGGAUUACGUUGCGGGGGGGUUGUUGGGGACGGGGACCAGGGCUCACAACCAUGCUGCAUUUUUGUCAAAGACGCUUCCGUUUUUACUCAAUUUUCAAUGAAAUUUAAAUUUUUAAAUGAAAACUAAAAAUUUCAUUUCAUUUUAAUAACCUGAUUGAAAGACUAAGUGGUUUACUGAAAGUCUUAGGCUGGGAAACAAUGACAUCAUCUGUCCAAAUAUUCAAAUAAGAAGAAAAUAGCCAUUGUAACAGGAAUCUAAGGGAACUGGGCUUUUGCAUCAGAACAUGACUUCUUUUUUUUUUUUUUUUUUUUUCCUUUUUAGGCCGCACUCAUGGCACACAGAAGUUCCCAAGCUAGGGGUCGAAUCGGAGUUGCAGCUGCCGGCCUACACCACAGCCACAGCAAUGCCAGAUCCUUAACCCACUGAGUGGGGCCAGGGAUCAAACCCAAGUCCUCAUGGAUACUAGUCGAGUUUGUUACCGCUAAGCUACAAUGGGAACUUCCUAUUUUGUUUUCUUGUUUUUUUUUUUUUUUUUUUUUAAUAAAAAAAUCCAGGUCUUUACUGUGCCA